UCUCUUACUCGACUUCCAAAACUAAUGAAGGAAAAUUCAGGGGAAAAAAAAGUGAAAAAUACUUCAGUCUAGUCAGCUUAUGGAUAUCCGUGUAUUAGGUUUUCCCAGGUUGUACUGAAUUCUGUUUCUGGAGCUUGCUAUACAUGUUUUCUUGUUCGAUCAUUGUUCGGAUAGAGAAGCUGAAGACUGAAGCAGAAAUUUCCAGUGCCUGGGUAUGUGAAAUCCGCCUUCUGGUGAUUUUCUUUUCACUGGAUGUGAAUGGCAACAGGUGGCCACAACUGUUUUCCAGUUGGAGCUACUUGAUGGCGUGUCCUGCUAAAUAAAGUUCUCUUGUCACCAAGCAGAGUACCUCAUAGGAACUGGCAAGGCUGGUGAUGCCGCUUUGGGAGGAUGGAAUGCAAACCAAACAGAGCUUUUCCCAGACCAUGUAUUUUGGUUUCUCUGUAGAAAGAGAAACAGAGCAUCCUGGGUGCUGCCUUUCAAUUUCUGGCAUCUAGAAAUCCACAGAGAGAAGGAAACAGAGUAAUUUUAAUGUGUUUGUUGCACAGGCCGAGUGCUCAAAGUGGUUUUGUGAGCACAGCUUCCCUACAAAGACAACAGCAGCCAUUGAAUUACUGAAUGUCACAAGGCAAGUGCCAGAGAGCUCGACCAUGGCUUUCAUCCAGCCCUUUAGCUCGUUCUACACAGGCCAACAUCUAUGCUCUACACAACAGAGAGUUAUUAAUACAACCUCCACAAUCAGCCAGUGUAAAAACCCACACGUAGAACCAAGGGCUCCAUUCAGGGGUUCCUUAGGAACACAUGGUAUGGAUAACUCUGCAAAUUCUUAUCACUAAUCUGAAACUGCAACCCACGGAGCAGCCUUUCCUUUUGCUGCCAGGUGACCUUGGAGGGAUCAGACAGGAGAAGGAACUCCUUUCUCUACAAGUAGGUUCAACAAGCAAACACAUUAAUUCAAGUAUACCUAUCUGACUGCCAGUCUCCAAGUUUGUGCCUCUGGGUCAAAGAACCAGCACAACACACCCCCCUCUACCUCAGAGCCACCACAGACACUUCUCCUGAACUGUUACACAGAAAAUAAAAACCAUCCUGAAAACCUGGCUGUCUCCUUUUAUCACACGUGCUGUAUGCAUCCAAGCUUUUCCCUUGUCUCACUGCACUUUCCAGAAACAAGCAUCACUCAGCAACUCAAACAGAGGAAUUGGACAAUGAAGCCUAAGUGUACUGUGCUGAAUAUCACCAGCUGAUUCUGACAAGGGGACAUUUUACUCACUGAAGAACUGCUCUACAUCCAUGAAGUACCCCAGCCUCCUGAGGAAGAAGGAGGAGGAACUACAAGACAGAAAGCAGAAAUAUUCUCCAGUUUUCGCUCUUACUCCAGCUAUCCACCAGAUUAUUUCUUCAUGAAAACAAAUCUUCCUCCUCCAUUCAGCUUGUGGUGUCUGCUUUAUCCUUACACUGGAUACUGAAGGAAUAUUUACAUGAUCAAUCUCGACAUCUAAUCUAGGAACAGUUCUCUUAUGGCUUGGACCCUUAAUGUCUUAUGUAGCAGAUGGAGAUGUCUUCCCAGGCAACACCAAAUGGGUCAUUUUGGAUUCGGGUGCCUCGCACUAAUACAACCCCAGCUGUUUUAUUUCCCCUUCCUCUUUUGAAGGAGCACAAUUGUAGGAGUUCUUUUUCACCCUCAAAUUUGCAAGAGACCUUUUACUAGAUUACUUCUACUAGAUUUGCAAGACACCUUUCAUCUAGAUAUACAGACCAUUGUGCUUGAAAGCUUUGAGAUAUAUUCUGAAAUUGCAGUUGAGAACACACCUUUUAGAGUGUCCCUUUUUAAACAAGGGAUUUAAAUAUUGCCAUACUUCCAAGUUGUUCAUGCAUCUGCCCAGGUACUCAUAUGAAUAUUUUUUUAGCAUCAGAGCCAUCUUACAAGCUUCAGCGUAAAUAUCUCUGAAAGGGAAGAGAGAAUUCAUGAAGGCAACAAGACUGAAUAAUUUAAAACUUGGGCUCACAAGCACUGCCUGGUCCUGCAGAGUAUUUUUCUGUUGGAAAUUCGUUCUCUGAAUGAACCAGAGGACAAAUCCAACAAUGCUCAGGAUCCAGCACCAAUCAAAGAAGAUCAGCUUGAACCUCAGCCUGUGUCUAUGGUUCCUGCAAAAUUAUGAGGGAUCAAAAAUCCUGGAGCACUGACUGAAUGGUGGUCAAAGAAUUGUCAUGCAUAAAAGAAAGAUGCUUGGCAAAAGACUGUUUGAAAGGGGCUUUAGCCAUAAUAAUGAUAGGUUUCUUGAUAUCCUUUCAAGAUAAAUAAUCCACACUACAACUCAUCAAAUAUCCCCAAAGCUGUUAUAUCUAGGGGCAAAUAUACAUGAUAGUAUUGUAGGCAAGGACAACUGGGAAAGAAAUGUUCAAAUCCAGAACUGACAUGGCACAUGCCUUUCUGAGCCUUCUUAAAUAAAAAGUGUUUUUUAAAGUAGGUCAUAGAUACCACCUAU